GCCCCCUUGGCUCAGUGGUAAAGCGUGUCACUCGUAUCUCUCGCGAAAUGACAAGAUCAGUUGUUCGAAUCAGCUAGGGGGCA